CCUACGGGUGGCAGCAGUGAGGAAUAUUGGUCAAUGGUCGUAAGUCUGAACCAGCCAAGUAGCGUGCAGGAUGACUGCCCUAUGGGUUGUAAACUUCUUUUAUAUGGGGAUAAAAUGCUUCACGUGUGGGGUUUUGUAUGUACCACAUGAAUAAGGAUCGGCUAAUUCCGUGCCAGCAGCCGCGGUAAUACGGAGGGUCCGGGCGUUAUCCGGAUUUAUUGGGUUUAAAGGGAGCGUAGGUGGCAUGUUAAGUCUGUCGUGAAAGUUUGUGGCUCAACCGUAGAAUUGCAGUUGAAACUGGCAGGCUUGAGUGCAGUAGAGGUAGGCGGAAUUCGUGGUGUAGCGGUGAAAUGCUUAGAUAUCACGAAGAACUCCGAUUGCGAAGGCAGCACACGGGAGUGCUACUGACGCUGAGGCUCGAAGGUGUGGGUAUCGAACAGGAUUAGAUACCCUGGUAGUC
rnacentral:rRNA from 1 species